UACGAAGGUCCCAAGCGUUGUUCGGAUUCACUGGGCGUAAAGGGUGCGUAGGUGGUUGGGUAAGUCUGAUGUGAAAUCUCCGAGCUUAACUCGGAAACUGCAUCGGAUACUAUUCGGCUCGAGGGUUGGAGGGGGGACUGGAAUACUUGGUGUAGCAGUGAAAUGCGUAGAUAUCAAGUGGAACACCAGUGGCGAAGGCGAGUCCCUGGACAACUCCUGACACUGAGGCACGAAAGCUAGGGGAGCAAACAGG
rnacentral:rRNA from 1 species